rnacentral:rRNA from 1 species
UACGAGGGGUGCAAGCGUUGCUCGGAAUUAUUGGGCGUAAAGGGUAGGUAGGUGGUCUCAUUUGUCUGGGGUGAAAGCCUUGAGCUUAACUCAAGAAGUGCCCCAGAAACGGUGAGACUGGAGUCCUGGAGAGGGUCGUGGAAUUCCCGGUGUAGCGGUGAAAUGCGUAGAGAUCGGGAGGAACACCGGUGGCGAAGGCGGUCUCUGGGCCUUACCUGACGCUGAGGAGCGAAAGCGUGGGGAGCGAACAGGA